AAAUAAGUCAACCUCAUGGACUGUAAUAGAUUCUUACAUUUCAAAAUACAAGAUAUCAAAACCUAUUAUUUCAAAAGCUGGCAUCAGGAAUGAUCCCAUGCUUCUGCUAGACUGGCACCUAGUUAUAAUGGAGUUUAACAAGCUUCAACAUCAUGUACGAGCUGCAUAUGCCAAUUACAGUGGAGCUUUUAUUGCUAUACCAGGUCUUUGUUUCAAAGUUAAAGGUCGUGAAGUUGAAAGAGACUCACCUUGAUGUGGUCUGAACCCAACCUAUGGAAUCUCAUCUUUCAAACGCUGUGUGAUGGAAGGCAGAUUAAUUACUAUUAAACCUCAUUCAGAAAAGUUGAGCUUCUUGAAUAUUAAAUGUGAUAUAAUAUCACAACACAGGUAAUAGUUGUGUGCUGACGAGUGUGUUGUGUUAACCUCCUACUUUGAAACUUAUGAGCUGUUUUAAACUUUAAUGGAGAUAAGAUACUAAUAUUCCUUGAAAUUUUUUAAAAGUAAUAAAAGAAAUUUUUAUAUGG
rnacentral:lncRNA from 1 species